rnacentral:rRNA from 1 species
CUGUGGCUUAACCAUAGUACGCUUUGGAAACUGUCAAACUUGAGUGCAGAAGGGGAGAGUGGAAUUCCAUGUGUAGCGGUGAAAUGCGUAGAUAUAUGGAGGAACACCGGUGGCGAAAGCGGCUCUCUGGUCUGUAACUGACGCUGAGGCUCGAAAGCGUGGGGAGCGAACAGGAUUAGAUACCCUGGUAGUCCACGCCGUAAACGAUGAGUGCUAGGUGUUGGGUCCUUUCCGGGACUCAGUGCCGCAGCUAACGCAUUAAGCACUCCGCCUGGGGAGUACGACCGCAAGGUUGAAACUCAAAGGAAUUGACGGGGGCCCGCACAAGCGGUGGAGCAUGUGGUUUAAUUCGAAGCAACGCGAAGAACCUUACCAGGUCUUGACAUCCCAGUGACCGUCCUAGAGAUAGGAUUUUUCUUCGGA